ensembl:misc_RNA Y_RNA Y RNA
GGCUGGUCCAAGUGCAAUGGUAUCUGCAACGAACUGAUCACAACCAGUUACAGAUUUUUUUGUUCCUUCUCCACGCCCGCUGCUUCACUUGACUAGCUUAAA